GGGCCAGAUCUGGGAAGUGGGAACUCCCGUUGCCCAGCCUGCUGUCCCCGUGGGCCACCCUAUAAAGGACACAAAAACAAAGCCCCGGGGCUUGGAGCGUGGACUGAAACGCGGUACUCUUCCCAGAGCUGCAGAGUGUCUCUGUGCCUGAUUUAUUUUCAGCGGCCUGUAAGAGUGAAAUGAUGUUCCCUCUUUCCUCAGCUGGCCAGCCUGCAGGCGUCUCUUCGUUUUGCAGUGUACACCACCUGAAUCUGUAACCCCAAAGAGGAGUUCCCACGGGGGGGAACAAAAGAAGAAAAAGAAAGCGAACCCCGGUGGCGCUCCCAAAUCCACCCUUCCCAGGGGUCGGCUCCACUGCCUUGGUCAUCGGCUCACAUCCACCCGGCGGCAGACAAGGCUCAGCACUUCCUUGAGUUUCCGUGAAGCGAAGCUACAUGCCUUUACCUAAUCCGCCGCGCUCCUGAAAACAUUUCGAGUUUGCUGGUUUUGCUAUAAAUAAUCCAUGGACACAAAUGGCCUCACUUCGAGCACCAAGACGUUAGACACGAUGACACUGUGGAUUUUAAUAAGUCAGCUUGGAUUCUCAGUGGAAUAGCGGGACCUGAUGGUGCCUUUGGAAAGCAGUUUCAGAGGGACGCGGGUAAAGAAGACACCAGCCAAGGAAUGGCCCCUUGGGGGGCCAGCAAAUGCUUCAAAAAGACAGACUGGCCUCCUGAGUCCAGAGCUGAUGCACGUCGAGGCCGUCAAGGAAGGUAAGCGUUUGAAUGUGCUGUGGAUUCGGGAAUAAUCGCUGGCCGUCUUCAGGAGCCGCUCCGUCGUUUCUGACGUCAUUCGAUAGUAGGAAAACAAAAAUCCCUUCUGUUUUUUUAUGAGGCAUUUUCAGGUAUCGGGUGCAGAGGUAAAAGUUCAUAAGCACAUACUCUUAAUGAGCUAAGCGCGGGAGCGCUAGAUAAAUAAGAAUGAUUCGGUUUGACAAUUGCAGGGGCGGAACACGGAGUCUUUGGUUGCAUAGUCCAAGAAGAGUGAUUGUCUUUCCCCCUGUCUUCAUGCCAUGACAGGUAGCUUUCCCGUUCCUUGCCAGUUUCAUGAACUUGGAUUUGGACACAUUCCUUUCCCACCUGGUCAAGAAAGUAGAGCGUAUCCGAAUACAAACAAGAGAAAGGGACGUUAAUAGUAUCAGGAUCAUUUUUGAUGUAUUCUUAUUAAUGAAAAAGGAAAAUUGGGGAGUUCCCAUUGUAGAUUGAGGACCCCACGUUGUCUUUGUGAGGAUGCAGGUUUGAUCCUUGGCCUUGCUCAGUGGGUUAAGGAUCUGGUGCUGCUGUGGCUGUGGCAUAGGUCGCAGAUAUGGGUGUUGCUGUGGCUGUGGUGUAGGUUGCAGUGUAUCUCUGUUUUGACCCCUCACCUGGGAACUUCCGCAUGCUGCAGGU
rnacentral:lncRNA from 1 species